GACGAACGCUGGCGGCGUGCUUAACACAUGCAAGUCGAACGGAAAGGCCCUGCUUUUGUGGGGUGCUCGAGUGGCGAACGGGUGAGUAACACGUGAGUAACCUGCCCUUGACUUUGGGAUAACUUCAGGAAACUGGGGCUAAUACCGGAUAGGAGCUCCUGCUGCAUGGUGGGGGUUGGAAAGUUUCGGCGGUUGGGGAUGGACUCGCGGCUUAUCAGCUUGUUGGUGGGGUAGUGGCUUACCAAGGCUUUGACGGGUAGCCGGCCUGAGAGGGUGACCGGCCACAAUGGGAAUGAGAUACGGGCCAGAAUCCUACGGGAGGGAACAGUGGGGAAUAUUGCACAAUGGGCGGAAGCCUGAUGCAGCAACGCCGCGUGCGGGAUGACGGCCUUCGGGUUGUAAACCGCUUUCGCCCGUGACGAAGCGUGAGUGGCGGUAAUGGGUAAAGAAGCACCGGCUAACUACGUG
rnacentral:rRNA from 1 species